rnacentral:ncRNA from 1 species
CGGUCUGGGCUCAGGCUCUUUGGACCACCGAAGGCGGGGAAAAUUCCC